ACAGGCAGGCAGGGGCAGCAAGAUGGUGCCACAGACUCUGGUCCUCCUGUCCCUGCUGCUCUGGGCCUCUGGUACCAGUGGGGACAUCAUAAUGACCCAGUCUCCAGCCUCCCUGGCUGCAUCUCCAGGAGGAAUGGUCACCAUCAACUGCAAGGCCAGCCAGAGUCUUUUUGACAGCUCCAACAACAAAGACUAUUUAAACUGGUACCAGCAGAAACCAGGACAGGCUCCUAAGCUGCUCAUCUACUUUGCAUCUAACCGGGAUUCUGGGGUCCCUGACCGGUUCAGUGGCGGUGGGUCUGGGACAGACUUCACUCUCACCAUCAGCAACUUCCAGGCUGAAGACGCUGCAGUUUAUUACUGUAUGCAGAAUUAUGAUGAUCCACCCACAGUGCUUCAGCUUCGAACAAAAACCUCCUCCCAAGGGCUACAGGCCAAUGAAUCUUCACUGCACCAGCUGCUUCCUUUCUGCUCAGCCCUGAACAUGCACGCUUCCUCUCUCUGCCCCAAGGACUGCAUCUCCUGAUGAAUUCCUUGGAGUAUUUGCAGGUACCAGGAGAAACGUAAGGGAUGUGGUUUGUUCUGGAUCCCAUUUUGUGGUACACGAAAGAAAAAAAAACUCUAAAAAUCUCUCGUAGACUUUGUCAGGAGUUUUCAUAUCACAGGAACCUGCAUGUUUCACAUGGAUAGAUCACAUGACUGAUUUAGGGUAGUGUCCAGUGUGCUUUACACCCUGAAAGAACAGUUUUCUCUUCCCUGGGCAUUGUUGACUCUCGAAUAUUCCCGGUUCAUUUCCUUCUUUUCCUGGACUUUUUCCUUUCUCUUCCAUUAUGCCUCAUAACUCUGGAUCUAACCCAAUACUAAAUUUGUGCCUUCAUAUUUAAAAUCUCCCUCACAGAAGGGAGUAUUCCUCUCUUACAUUUUCCUUCCAUGGAUCCUGUUUUCCAGCCAAACCUUCCAGGUCCACAUCAGUGAAGGUGUUUUCCUGCUCUAAGCUCCCAUUUUACUGCCCCUUUCUCCUCUGUCCAUGUCUUUCAGUGUCACUCAUUCUUUCAAAGGCCAGACUCUAACUCAUUAACCAUAUCACUCUAGAAACAUGUGAUAGUUUUCCCAUUUCUUUUUUCGUUAUUUGUCAAUUCCUCUUUA